rnacentral:rRNA from 1 species
UGAGUAACCUGCCCUUAACUCUGGGAUAAGCCUGGGAAACUGGGUCUAAUACCGGAUAUGACUCCUCAUCGCAUGGUGGGGGUGGAAAGCUUUAUUGUGGUUUUGGAUGGACUCGCGGCCUAUCAGCUUGUUGGUGAGGUAAUGGCUCACCAAGGCGACGACGGGUAGCCGGCCUGAGAGGGUGACCGGCCACACUGGGACUGAGACACGGCCCAGACUCCUACGGGAGGCAG